rfam:Schistosoma margrebowiei strain Zambia genome assembly, scaffold: SMRZ_contig0009198
AUCCAGCUGAUCAGUCCAAAAUAAGACGAAACGCCCGUCUUGGAU